rnacentral:rRNA from 1 species
UUACAUAGCCAUAUGACCCUAUGGACCAAGACUGCUUGCCCACUGAAGCUAAGCAGGGUUAAGCCUGCUCAGACUCUGGAUGGGAGACCUCCUUCUGCUGGAAGCGGUGUUAG